rnacentral:rRNA from 1 species
CAAGGCCUCAUGCUAUAGGAGCGGCCGAUGUCUGAUUAGCUAGUUGGUGGGGUAAAGGCCCACCAAGGCGACGAUCAGUAGCUGGUCUGAGAGGACGAUCAGCCACACUGGGAUUGAGACACGGCCCAGACUCCUACGGGAGGCAGCAGUGGGGAAUUUUGGACAAUGGGCGAAAGCCUGAUCCAUCAAAGGCGCGUGUGUGAAGAAGGCCUUCGGGUUGUAAAGCAAAAGGUCCGGAAAGAAAUGGCUCUGGUU